CUUCACUUUUAUCGAGUACCUUUAUAUAAUUAUAGAGCAUUUUAUGUUAAAACGAGUAACAAGAAGAAGAACUUCUCCUAAAUGCAUGUGUAAAUCGCUAAGGACCAACCAACGAUAAUUAACGUUAUUAACCCUAUAGUAACAACACCUUAAAUAAAAUACUACUUCAAUUUGCGUUAACCUAACACUAGAGCAUUCCAGGAAAGAUUAAAAGAAAAAGAAGGAACUCGGCAAAUAUUAGCCCCGCCUGUUUACCAAAAACAUCGCCUCUUGCCCAAACCAUAAGAGGUCCAGCCUGCCCAGUGACAUAGUUCAACGGCCGCGGUAUCCUAACCGUGCGAAGGUAGCGUAAUCACUUGUUCUUUAAAUGAGGACUAGUAUGAAAGGCAUCACGAAGGCUAUACUGUCUCCUUUCUCCAAUCAGUGAAACUAAUUUUCCCGUGAAGAAGCGGGAAUAAAAUUAUAAGACGAGAAGACCCUAUGGAGCUUUAAACUACAUUACAACUGCUUUAUUUACUUUUUAACCUUAUUCUAGCAUUAUGUUUUAUGUUUUUGGUUGGGGUGACCGCGGAGUAAAAAAUAACCUCCCCAAUGAAUGAGUUAAUUUCUUAACUUAGAGAUACACCUCCACGUAUCAAUAUCUUGUCAUACAUUGACCCAAUUUUUGAUCAACGAACCAAGUUACCCUAGGGAUAACAGCGCAAUCCACUUUAAGAGCUCUUAUCGACAAGUGGGCUUACGACCUCGAUGUUGGAUCAGGGUACCCCAGUGGUGCAGCCGCUACUAACGGUUCGUUUGUUCAACGAUU
rnacentral:rRNA from 1 species